AUGAGCCCCUGCCUCCUGGGCUGUGUGGUCUUCUGUCUCCUGCAGGCAGGGGCGGUCCAUGCUGGUGUCUCUCAGGACCCCAGACUCCAGGUGGUGAGGACAGGACAGAGCACAACACUGACAUGUACUCAGGAUCUGGGUCAUAACUCUGUGUGCUGGUACCGACUAGACCCGGGACACGGGCUGAGGCUGAUCCACUACUCAGCUGCCUAUCCCAACACAGAGAAAGGAGACGUGCCCGAGGGCUACAGUGUCUCCAGACCAAGUACAGAGGACUUCCCUCUCAGGCUGAAGUCUGCCAACCGCUCCCAGACAUCUGUGUACUUCUGUGCCAGCAGUUACUCCACGGUGCUGCCCAGCCACCUCCUGUCUGGUGGCAAAAAAUCAGAUGAGGGUCCUGUAGCCUGGAACUUGGGGAGCCCCUUGCAGGCUCCUAGCACCUGCAGACUCGGAGUCCAUAGACACAUAGCAGCGUAG